UACGUAGGGGGCUAGCGUUGUCCGGAAUCAUUGGGCGUAAAGAGCGUGUAGGCGGCCCGGUAAGUCCGCUGUGAAAGUCCAGGGCUCAACCCUGGGAUGCCGGUGGAUACUGUCGGGCUAGAGUGCGGAAGAGGCGAGUGGAAUUCCUGGUGUAGCGGUGAAAUGCGCAGAUAUCAGGAGGAACACCAAUUGCGAAGGCAGCUCGCUGGGACGUUACUGACGCUGAGACGCGAAAGCGUGGGGAGCAAACAGG
rnacentral:rRNA from 1 species